GCCGGGAUGGCGGAAUUGGCAGACGCGCUAGAUUCAGGGUCUAGUGGCCGAAAGGCUGUGCAGGUUCAAAUCCUGUUCCCGGCA
rnacentral:tRNA from 1 species